rnacentral:misc_RNA from 1 species
GUUAACAGUACCCACAUGCUUCACCAUUCUCUUGCUUUUAAUCAUGUCGUCAGGUUAGGAAGCUAAAGUAAGGUUAGCAGAUAUAGUAUAUUUUAUUGCUAGAGUUGCUGAGUUGGAGAUGCAGUACCAUUAUAUGAGCAAUGGUUCUAGCAAUAUAUGGUCAGUGAGUUUUCAAGGCCUGAUAAUUGUCUCACAAGUCGGAAAUAGCUAUGGCUAAUCCUUUUCAUACUGUUUGGGCAUCAUUUGUUUGAACUUUCGCCUUUAGUUUUCUUUCUCCAAAUGCAACUUAUAAUUUUUCUUAAAAUGAUGCUGUUAAGUAAAUUUUUAGGGAAAGAAAGAAAGGACAGUUACUAUCUUUUCUAAUUGUCUUAUCCUUUUUUUCUCUCCUCUAUAACGAUUUGCAAAUAAUGCUCCUAAGGAUUACUGUUAAAACUCAAGAUAGACUAGCAUGACUUCUCAUGAAAGAAACAUUUCUUCAUCUUAAAUGUAAUUCAUUUCCUUUUCUUUUCCUGCUUUUUUCUUUCAAGAAAUUAUUUUGUUGAUGUAUGUAUAACCAAACAUUGCUUUUUUUU